UUAAAACGCGUUAAAUUUUUAAAUGAAUAUAUUUUCUAGUCAUUUAAGUUAAUCGACGAGGUCGUCUCUAUUUCAGCAGGGAGGUGUAAGGAACCUCGAAAUUCUAUAUUAAUUUCAAUCUUCCUUUAAAGAUAGUUAAAUGACUUAGGCUUAUAGUUAACAACCAUUUCCAUAGAGGAUAGAUAGUAAAUUUGUUAACGAUAGAAGUAUACCAGAAAUGGAAUAUACGUUGACGUUUAAUUAACAAAAGGACACUUUCUGUGAGAAAACUAUCAAAUCAUUUGACACGCUUGAUGAGUUACCACGGACUUAUGGAGGGGUUAAUUAGGAGCACAAGACCAGCCUAUCACAAGACGAAGCGUGACGAGGAAUGAUAAGCAGGGAGUUUAAACAAGGAGGAGCAAUUUCGAUCGUGAUGAACAAUACUGCGUUCCCUGAGAAAAGGCUGGAACGGCAGAAUAGACUCUGGGAAAUUCAGGGAGAUAUAGCGGAGAACGAUCGAAGGACCGAUGUCUUUCUCACGUCAGGGCAGUCUGUUAGGUUGUGUCAGUGCAACGUGCUUGUAAACAGAGUCCAGUAAGCCGGUUCCGCCCGGGUGCUUUAACCUUUCCAGUCAUAAGUAUUCCAGUUGCAGUGGAUCCGAUCCGUCACAUCGAAUAGAUUCCCCCGUACAUUAAAGAACAGUGACUAGUAAGUUUCCGGGUAAAAGUAAGCUAACGACGAUAAGAUUCCCGAUCUCCUUCUCACUUGAAGGACCAUUAUACGGAUUGAAGUUGUUCUCGAGGUAGAGAGACACGAACAUUCCUGCUCAAACCGUGCUGCCUUUGCCGAUACCUGCUAGAAUAAUUGAUUCUCCUUCGUCAACCGAGACCAUUCGUGACAGUCAAACUGUUGACGGUGAGACUCAGUCAAAGACGCGUGAUAUUCCAGCCCUCCUACACUAUUUCUCAGAGAGAGACUUAUCAAAAGGUGAUUGCACCAACAUAGACUUAGAGUUCCUUUAAAUAGGUUAUGAGAAGAAUUUCUACCGUGUCAAUUAAUUAGUAUAGUAUCAAAAGGUUA